AGUCAGCUGUGAUGUUAAUCCAUAUUUUGUCAGAGGAGACCAAGGUUUUCCCAUUAGCUCAUAUAUUAGACAGUCAGUGAUAAGAUGCUUUUGUCAGUGGCAGGACUUAUGUUCCCAGAUCCCUAAACAAUAGCUUUUUAAAGAGUUCUUCCAAUCUCGAAACACAUACAUUCUUCCACCCAGUCCACCUUCUCUGCCUCCUGUUUUUCUUUCUAUUUUUCUUGGCAGAUGUUGGCUGUUGGAAAAAUAUUCCUUUCACCUAGGUGCUGUCAGGUCCCACAGAGAGCAAAGAAAAUGGCAAGUUAAUGAAUUCAGGAUCCUUUCUAGCAGAAGGUGUGUCUCAGUUCCAUGUGUCACAUCUGGCAGUAGAUUAAAACAAAACAUAACAAUGGAGUAAAGAUGAAGCACUCAGAAACCUGAGGUUAAAACAGAAUUAAAUAAAUGUCAUACAUGUAAAUGUCCUUAAAACCCAGAGUCUCUGAUGAAACUAGAGAAAAGGGGACCAAAGAAACAAUUUCAAAGCGGUCAUUAUCUGGGCAAUUUAAACAAUACCUAAAAAGCAGCAGUAAGAGGUUUUCAAAAUGAACCUGGCCCCCAAAUGGGCAGUAUUUGAGGCUCUUGCCCCAUCAGUGCUAUCUGACAGAGGACCAGUAAUGACCUGCCUGUAACAGGACAUCUUUCCCAUGAUGCCAGAGCUGCUCUGCACACAUCCCCUCAAAGUCUCUUUCCUGUAAUGGCACUGCUGGAGCUUUGAAGAAAAUGAAGGAUGAUUGGUUCUUAUUUCAAAUAGGCUUACAGAAUCCAUAUCUCCAAAAACAUCUUGUUUUAACAUUAUUCCAAUAUGUUUGGUCACAGUAUUUAUACACUGAAUGAGUUGGGGGGCAAGGGCAUAUAUCUCAUUUGAAGCAGAAUUUUUAUUAUUUUUUUUAUUUUUGCUUUUUAGGGCUGCACCUACAGUAUAUGGAGAUUCUCAGGCGAGGGGCCAAAUUGGAGCUACAGCUGCCAGCCUACCCACAGCCACAGCAACACAGGAUCCAAGCCACAUCUAUGACUUACACCACAACUCAUGGCAAUGCCAGGUCCUUAACCCACUAAGCGAGGCCAGGGAUCGAACCCAUAACCUCAUGGUUCCUAGUCAGAUUCAUUUCCGCUGGGUUUGGGGUUGGUAGAUGCAAACUAUUACAUUUAGAAUGGAUAAUCAAUGAAGUCCUAUUGCACAGAAUGGUGAACUAACUAUAUCCAAUCUCUUAGGACAGAACAUGAUAGAAGAUAGUAUGAGAAAAAGAAUGGCUAUAUAUGUAUGAUUGCAUCAUUAUGCUGUACAGCAGAAGUUGACACUACUCUGAAAAUAAACUAUACCCUUAAAAAUAAAAUAAAAAAUAAAAUUUCAGUGCCAAAAAAUAUGGUACCAGCAGAAGUUUUUAAAAUUUAAAAUCCUAAUGGAGUACUAAGUCAGAGCACCAUUUAGCAGAAAAACUUUCCUUGGUAAAAAUAACAAAGGAGACAUUCCUUCUGAACAUUUGAAUGCCUUAAGAGUAUGGCACCCUGAUCUCCUCAUAAAAAAACAAAAGCAUCACUUACUGCCUAAACUCUUCAGGAAAAUAGAUCAGAUAAUCAUAUCUAAAGAUAUUGCUGGUUGAAAGUGAGAACAAUUAUAUUUCACAUCUACAAAGUGAUGGAAAGUUUUGUUUGCCUAAACCACUAACAAACCUUUCUUUGCCAAAAGCAAAAGAAGAAAAAAGUAAUAACAAAAACUGCAGAUUAAUAAACACAAAUCCUCAGUGGUGCAAUUAACCUCAAAAAAAUUCAUGUGCUCAUUGGGCACCUCAUCAUCCCUGGCUUCUCAGCUUACCCUUGUACUUCAUUCCUUACCAGAUGUCAAGUACAGAGUCACUUUAACAGAUAAAUAUUUGCUAAAUGAACAAAUAAUAGUAGGAUGGAAAACAGAUAUUCAAUAAAAGUACUCGUCUUCCUCAAAGACUUGAAAGUGGGGAAACUAAGAGCAAAAUUUUCUAGGUGGAGAAAAAUUGCCAUUUUAAAAAAUGAUUCAAGAGUGAGCAUGUUACCUAUUAGAAGGUUAGAGGGAGUCUCUCUGUAAGGGAUACAGAAGCAUUCUCAGGAGCCAUAAUGGACUGAUGUUAUAGACUGAUGCUACAAUUCCAGAGACCAAGACUCUGGUCUCAUACUGAACAUGAUUAUAAAGGGGUGCCAGAGUAUGGGCAUAAACUCCUAUAUCUGGAGAGUAGGAAGGGUUGGCCAGUCAGAGGUCUUUUUGCAGGGAUGCCAGGGAGCUGAAUGGGACAAACCCCGGGAACCAUAAGGAAACUUGCUGGGAAACCAGUCAAGGGACAAAACCCAGUAGAUUAAAAGGAGAAUUUUGAGAACAGAAUAUCAUUCACUCUAUUUUUCCAAAUCCUUGCAAACUCUAACCCAGGGACCUGAACAAGUUACCUGGAGAAGGGGGCUUAUCACUGAUAGGACUGUAUGCAUAAAACUGCUAUAAAACAUGUGAGUUCAAGGAGAUGCUCUAUGUACUAGUGCAACAAAAUGAGUAUAAAAGAUGUUUCCUUCCCUUUGCUAAAGGGGCUAUAGGAGCACCCUGGAAGGAAUAACGGGAGAAGGGAGAGUGGUCACAAAGACAGAAUACCUACACCAAGAUCACAUUUUUUUACCCUUAUCUUCUAGUGGGUUUCCUCCAUACUCCAAAUAAAACUGAGAGUCUUUGCCCAGGUGAACAAAAUUGUUUGCAUCCACCCUUCCCUUCUCACCCACUGUAGUUCCUCCUAGUCUCUCUCCUGCUCUCUGCUUCAGUCAUUAAGACUUUCUGCUGUUUCAUAAACAAGCCAAACUGCUGCCAUCUUUGGGUCUCUACCUUGGCAUUCCCCUCUAUCUGGCCUGCUCUUACCCUAGAUCUUUACCUUGCUUCUUCUCUCAUUUUAAGCAGGUUUAUGUUCAAAUGUCACCUCUUCAAGAGGCCUUUCCUGAGUUCUAGAAUGUGUGAGGAAAAAUGAGAGUUGCAUGAGGUUUCCCUGUUCUGAAAGUUGAGGCUAAAUCAGAAUUGAGCUGUGGGUUAACAAUAUCUCUGUUAUUCCACGGAGUCUAGGGUAGCCAGAAACACAUGGGUUCACAGAUACAUCGCAGGGUCAGAGUGUGGUACCUUUUUGACUAUAACUGUUCAGCACCAUGAUUUGAAUGUCCUUAGAACUACUCUUGACUCUCUGCAUAGCUGAGUGCUGGAAAGUACUCUACCCAAACUCUCAGCAUUCAGAAGUAGUAGGUUAAACAUGGUAAUCAGAUCAUUUUGGAAGUUGUUUCUAAGAAAUAAGGAACUCUACCAAGACAUAGAAGAACACUGAAUAGUCUUGUAGAAUCACUUUUGCACACACUUCAAGACAUUAGAGAGACUAUAGACUUCAUUGAUGUUAUUUAUCAAGUAGUCAUCAUCACUGAAGACAGCUUGGGUCACAGUAAAGUGAGUCUAAGAGUGAAAAUAACUCAUCUGACAUACAAAUUUCAACAAACUGCCAAUCAUUCCUAAAUAUCUCUUCUCUAUGACACAAAGUGAUAAGAGAACUAACAGAAAAGAGAAGUGAGAAUGAAUAGUUUUACUCCUUUAUUCUCAAAUACCUUCAAUGAAUAUUUACCAUGAAAAGAUUGAAUGCAGAUGACAGAGCAUCUUAUUAUCACAUUUUGGUUUGAAAAAAAUCUGCUUUUAACUUUGGAAUAUUUAUAGGCAAAUUUAUCUAAAUUCAGUACAAUACAUCACAGUGAAUUUCCUCAAGUUACUACAACGCUAACUCAUUUAGUACCAGGCAUGUUUAACUCUAAUAAAGUCUUGGCUGUAUGCAAUGGAGAUAGAGGUAAUAUCAUAGUUUAUAAACAGAAAAAGGGAGCAGCUAACGUUACAUGAAUCUGUUCACACUUGAGAGUGCCAAGAUUAUAUUUAAGUUACAAUACUGAUCUUGGUGAUAAUUAAAGAAUAGACACAAGGUGUUCUGGCUUUCAUUCAUCAGCGCAAAUGAGAUGUGGCUUCUGCAAAUACAGGUGUGCGUUAGUAGGUGUGCACACAUGCCCAGGAUGUCAGAUGCUUACUCUACUCAUGCAGGUGAGGUAUGUAAGUGGGAAAAUAUUCUAGAUACUCUACACAAAAUUUAUGAAACACAGACUGGAAAAAAAGCCUCCAUCACCAUACUGUAACCAUGCCAAGUAUAGGCUGUGUAAUGCGAGGGGCCCAGCAUUAGACUUGAAAUAAACUUUAGGGGUUUAUCCAGGGCUACGAUUUCUAAUUUAAGGGAAACAAGUGCCUGGAUUUGUCUCAGAUAUUUCUUCUGAAACCUCCACCUAGGCAGUGCUGAUUCAUUAUAAUGCUAUUUGUCCUGAAAUAUUCUUCUUCAAAAUAUUCAUGACUUGGAGAGAGAGUAGAUUCUAGAAUUGGAACAGAGAAAUUUAAAGAUUAAUCCAAAGCAUCUUCUACCACAAAUAAGUAAGAUAAUGGUCUUUUUUAAAAAAGAGAAUUUGGUAUUAGGCAAUCUGUCCUCUUAAGAAGUAUCCCAGUUGAUGCUAGGUCAUCAGUUCUGAACAAUAUUUUGAAAGCACUGUCCUAAAACCACCACUCUAACAUUUUGCCUUUUAGUAAAUAGAUGAAGGCUGUGAAAUAGUGUUGAUUUCCAAGUUGAAGUCAGAUUGGCUGUACUACCAGCUGCUUAAGAUAAAUGUACUCUUAAGUUGAGUUAAGAUGCAUUAUUUAUGGACCAUUUAUAUAUAAAUGAAAAUCUGUAGCUUAUCAGACUACUGAGUAUUCAUCUGGGCACACAAUGUGCUCCAUAAACAAUGGAGACCACUGUUUGGCAAAGUUUGUUUCAGAGACGUCUAUAGGAACAGUCAGUCAUCCCAACAGCUUUAACCCCACUCUAUAAAGCAAAAGGAGUGAGUGCACUUACCCAGGUUUUGCCUCCCUCCACUGUCAAAUUUUCCCUCUUGCUAGUUCUUAUUUUCCUUUUUUAUGAUUUAUUUUCUCAUUUUAGUGAAGCAAGAAGUCUCUUGAGAAAGAAGUGGGAAGUAAGCAAUUUUCAAAUUGUCUGAAAAUUACUUUUUUCUAUUCACAUAUUGGAUUGAUAUUUAAAAUUCAUAAUAAGGUUAGAACACUUAAAAUUUUUAGUGCAUUGCCUCACUGUCUUCCAUUUAUCAGUUUUGCUAGAUUGAAAGCCACACUUACUCUGUGUCUUUUCUUCACAACAUAAUUGUUUCUCUAGAAAUCUUUAGGAUCCUUUCUUUAUCCCAAAUAUUCCAUAAUCCAUAUUGUUACUAUAUCUGGGUAUCUUUUUUUUUUAAAUUCACUUAUCUGAACUCUCACAUCCCUUUGUUCUCGUAAUUUUUCUUCUAUUAUUUCUUUAAUAAUUUGCUCUCCUCUUCUUUCUCUGUUCUCUUUCAGGAGUCCUCUCCAUUAGAUGUGGGCUAUUAGAACUGACCUAAUUUUCUUACAUUUUAUCUUCAACUUUCCAUUUCUUCACCCUUUUGUCCUACUUUCUUGAUGAUUUCUUUGAUUAUAUUUUUCCAGAUCUUCCUUUGAGUUUUUAUUUAUGCUAUCAUAUUUUUAAUUUUCAAUAGUUUUUUUCCUCUUCUUCCUUUAGAUAAUACUGAUUAUUUUUGUGAGUGUAUUAUUAUUUUUUAGUUAUCUAUUCAUCAAAGUUGCAUUUUAAAGUUAUUGCAUGUUCCGCUGUUAAAUUUUGCUCAAGCUCCUUAUAUUCUUCCAUUUGCUUUUAUCUCUACAUUUAUUUUUUGCUCUUUAUAAUUAGCCCAAAUGUGGCCUAAUAAUUUGGGGGACCUCCAUCAGUAUCUCUAAGCCUUUUCUUUAGUGCUAUCCCAUUUCU
rnacentral:lncRNA from 1 species